rnacentral:tRNA from 1 species
GCCGAAUGUAGUGGUCUAGCAUGAUGGCCUGUCACGCCGUCGACCCGGGUUCGAAUCUCGGCCAAGGCG